rnacentral:rRNA from 1 species
UACGUAGGGUGCGAGCGUUAUCCGGAAUCAUUGGGCGUAAAGAGCUCGUAGGCGGUUCAGCAAGUCGGCUGUGAAAGUCCGAGGCUCAACCUCGGAAUUGCAGUCGAUACUGCUGUGACUCGAGUCCGGUAGAGGAGAACGGAAUUCCCGGUGUAGCGGUGAAAUGCGCAGAUAUCGGGAGGAACACCAGUAGCGAAGGCGGUUCUCUGGGCCGGCACUGACACUGAGGGACGAAAGCUAGGGGAGCGAAAGGG